rnacentral:rRNA from 1 species
UACGAGGGGGGCGAGCGUUGUUCGGAAUUAUUGGGCGUAAAGGGUGCGUAGGCGGUUUGGUAAGUCUUAUGUGAAAUCUACAGGCUCAACUUGUAGUCUGCAUGAGAAACUGCCGGGCUUGAGUAUGGGAGAGGUGAGUGGAAUUCCUGGUGUAGCGGUGAAAUGCGCAGAUAUCAGGAAGAACACCCGUGGCGAAGGCGGCUCUCUGGGACGGUACUGACGCUGAGACGCGAAAGCGUGGGGAGCGAACAGG